rnacentral:rRNA from 1 species
AACGCGAAGAACCUUACCCAGGCUUGACAUGCAGUAGACAGCGCCAGAGAUGGCGCCUUCCUUCGGGACUGCUGCACAGGUGCUGCAUGGCUGUCGUCAGCUCGUGCCGUGAGGUGUUGGGUUAAGUCCCGCAACGAGCGCAACCCUUAUCGUUAGUUGCCAACAUUUAAGGUGGGAACUCUAACGAGACUGCCCGGGUUAACCGGGAGGAAGGUGAGGAUGACGUCAAGUCCGCAUGGCCCUUAUGUCUGGGGCUACACACGUGCUACAAUGGUCGGUACAGAAGGCAGCGAAACCGUGAGGCGGAGCAAAUCCCCAAAGCCGACCCCAGUUCAGAUUGUAGUCUGCAACUCGACUACAUGAAGACGGAAUUGCUAGUAAUGGCGAGUCAGCAACAUCGCCGUGAAUACGUUCCCGGGCCUUGUA